ACGCACGCUGGCGGCGUGCUUAACACAUGCCAGUCGAACGGAAAGGCCCUGCUUUUGUGGGGUGCUCGAGUGGCGAACGGGUGAGUAGCACGUGAGUAACCUGCCCUUGACUUUGGGAUAACUUCAGGAAACUGGGGCUAAUACCGGAUAGGAGCUCCUGCUGCAUGGUGGGGGUUGGAAAGUUUCGGCGGUUGGGGAUGGACUCGCGGCUUAUCAGCUUGUUGGUGGGGUAGUGGCUUACCAAGGCUUUGACGGGUAGCCGGCCUGAGAGGGUGACCGGCCACAUUGGGACUGAGAUACGGCCCAGACUCCUACGGGAGGCAGCAGUGGGGAAUAUUGCACAAUGGGCGGAAGCCUGAUGCAGCAACGCCGCGUGCGGGAUGACGGCCUUCGGGUUGUAAACCGCUUUCGCCUGUGACGAAGCGUGAGUGACGGUAAUGGGUAAAGAAGCACCGGCUAACUACGUG
rnacentral:rRNA from 1 species